GCGCUCACUUUGGCAGCAUAUACACUAUAAUUGGAACAAUACGGAGAAAUGAGCAUGGCCCUGUGCAAAGAUAACAUGCUAAUCCGUGAAGCAUUCCGUACUUUU
ensembl:snRNA U6 U6 spliceosomal RNA